rnacentral:rRNA from 12 species
GCACUUGAGGAAUAAGCAUCGGCUAACUCCGUGCCAGCAGCCGCGGUAAUACGGGGGAUGCAAGCGUUAUCCGGAAUCAUUGGGCGUAAAGCGCCUGUAGGUUGUUUAGUAAGUCUGUUGUUAAAGACCAGGGCUUAACCCUGGGAAAGCAAUGGAAACUACUAGACUUGAGUAUGGCAGGGGUAGAGGGAAUUUCUAGUGUAGCGGUGAAAUGCGUAGAUAUUAGAAAGAACACCGGCGGCGAAAGCGCUCUACUGGACCAUUACUGACACUCAGAGGCGAAAGCUAGGGGAGCAAAAGGGAUUAGAUACCCCUGUAGUCCUAGCCGUAAACGAUGGAUACUAGAUGUUGCGCAAUUUGUGCAGUAUCUUAGCUAACGCGUUAAGUAUCCCGCCUGGGGAGUACGCUCGCAAGGGUGAAACUCAAAGGAAUUGACGGGGGCCCGCACAAGCGGUGGAGCAUGUGGUUUAAUUCGACGCAACGCGAAGAACCUUACCUGGCCUUGACAUGCAGAGAACUUUCCAGAGAUGGAUUGGUGCCUUCGGGAACUCUGACACAGGUGCUGCAUGGCCGUCGUCAGCUCGUGUCGUGAGAUGUUGGGUUAAGUCCCGCAACGAGCGCAACCCUUGUCCUUAGUUGCCAGCAUUUAGUUGGGCACUCUAAGGAGACUGCCGGUGACAAACCGGAGGAAGGUGGGGAUGACGUCAGGUCAUCAUGGCCCUUACGGCCAGGGCUACACACGUGCUACAAUGGUGCGCACAGAGGGCUGCAAACCCGCGAGGGGGAGCUAAUCUCACAAAACGCAUCGUAGUCCGGAUCGGAGUCUGCAACUCGACUCCGUGAAGUCGGAAUCGCUAGUAAUCGUGAAUCAGAAUGUCACGGUGAAUACGUUCCCGGGCCUUGUACACACCGCCCGUCACACCAUGGGAGUGGAUUGCACCAGAAGUGGUUAGUCUAACCUUCGGGAGGACGAUCACCACGGUGUGGUUCAUGACUGGGGUGAAGUCGUAACAAGGUAGCCGUAGGGGAACCUGCGGCUGGAUCACC